rnacentral:lncRNA from 1 species
GCUUGGGAGACAAGCUGUAAAUGAGACGUGGGGCUUAUGUUUUCGGUAGGUGAGAUUUAAUGUACACAAGGGUAAGAGUAGGAAACAAAAGUAAUUCGAAGUUAAAUAUGGUCUUUUUGGUUAAAUUCUACGGGUUCUGGGAGGAGGGCAAUACCAUUUCCUGCUGAGGUGAGUUUGCUCACCCAUUGCCAUAAUCACAAUCGUAAUAAAAAUAACAUUAAUAACUACAAUUGAUCGAGCUCUUUGAGGCGGACAUCGGGUUAGGCAUUUUGGAUCCAAUUUCUCAUUUAAUCCUCACGACCAUCUUGAGGGAGCGCAUUUUACCCGUGUUUUACGGGGGACUGAAGCUUAAGGAGCAGUAACUUGCCCAGGUCACGUGGCUAGGAAGAGACAAGGUCAGGUCAGAGCCACAAGAGGGCGCUCUUCCCCUUUCUAUUCUAUGUUGUCCUGUGGUUCCCGCUUUUCCUCAGGGGCACCUUCCACAAAUGUAAAAACCCCACAUAAACAUCUUGUUUCUCUGUCUUCCUCCUCCCCAGUGUCUCUCUCUCCUCUCAGUCUGUUUGUCUCCUCUCAGUUUCUCUCUCCCUUUCCUUACUUGUUUUUUGUCUCUCUCUUCCUCCUUGUUUUCUGUUUAUUUAUCUAUUUCAGGGGAUGGGCAGCCUUGGGAAUAUGGGCUGUAGGUAGGAAGAGAACAUUUCUGGAACUGAAAAUUAUGCUGCAUCUUGUCUAACGGGAAGCAAAAUUUUUGAAUGUGGGAAUCUUGUAAAAUCUAGACGUUGGUCAUCAAUACACAUGGCAUGAAACUGUAAAACUAUGAGCAGCUGUGGUGAGUUGUGACUGGGAAGCCACAUGGGGUGUGUAUGAGCACAUGCAUUUGCAAGCUUCCCUGGAGCUUCCUCCAGGUUACUCCUGGGUUCUGCCUUUCCCUGGUUACACUUAGGAUUGAAGCCUCAUUCACCUCUGUGUAUUUGCUCAUGCUUUUCCUGUCACUGGUGUUAAUUUCUGUAGUCUCUCUGCAUGUUUAACUAAAUUCUACCUCUUUUUUUUUUUUUUUUUUGAGACAGAGUCUUGCCUGUUGCCCAGGCUGGAGUGCAGGGGUGUGAUCUCAGCUCACUGCAACUUGAGUCUCCCAGGUUCAAGCGAUUCUCCUGCCUCAGCCUCCUGAGUAGCUGGGAUUACAUACAGGUGCACACCACCACGCAGGGCUAAUUUUUUCUUUUCCUUUCUUUUUGUUUUUUUUAGACAGAAUCUCGCUCUGUUGCGCAGGCUGGAGUACAGUGGUGUGAUCCGGGCUCACUACAACCUCUGCCUCCCAGGUUCAAGCGAUUCUUCUGCCUGGGACUACAGAUGAAGAAACUGAGGCCUUGAGGAGGCAAGUAAUAUAUCCGCAAAGAGGGGCUGUCCUGCCUGGGAAGAUGAGCGACACAUGGGUUUUCCGAGAAGCGACACAUCUGAAGAGUGAAAGCAGCUCUACGGAAAGACCUGUGUGGCUAGGAACUAAGGCCUCCUGUCAAUAGUCCUGUGUAUGAGUCAUCUUGGAAGUAGAUUGCCCAGCUGCCGUCAAGCCUUCAGAAGACUGUGGUCCUCACUGACAUCUUGCCUGCAACCUCAUGAGAGUUCCUGAGCUAGACCACCCAGUUAAGUUACUGCUGGAUUCCUGACCACAGAAACUGUGAGCUGAUGUUACGCUUCAAUCUACUGUCUGCAUUCUUAACUCUGUCUCAGCAUCUGAUUCCCAGAGGACCUAACUGAUGGUGGUUCCAGGAAUGCUCAAAGAAAACAGGUGCUCCACCCUCCACCCUGUUCUAUGGCCCUGGGCGUGACUUGCUCUUGCCCCUUGCCUUCUGUUUGGAUCCUGCCAAUGAGGACUCCUAGCAGGAGAUGGGGGCUCUCAUAUUUAACUGAAAGGCUCAGCUCCACGCAGCGUUUCUGUCUCCAGCCCACACAGCACGAUGAGAUAAAGACUAGAGGCUGCUCACUGCUGAGAGUGGACCAUCCAGCUCAUUUGGUCACAUAAUUUCCAGCCAGCCACCUUAUGGGCAAGAUUUUGGCUCACCUGUAAGCUAUUAGCUGGAAAAUACUGGCUUCAUGAAAUGGCUUGGAAGAUUUGGAGGCAACCUAAAUGUCCAUCAACAGAUGAAUGGAUAAAGAACAACAGGGUGACUAAAGUCAAUAAUAAUUUAAUUAUACAUUUAAAAAUAACUAAAAGAGUGUAAUUGGAUUGUUUGUAACACAAAAGAUAAAUGUUUGAGGGAAUGAAUACAUGAAGCGAUUAUUUGCAUGAUGUGAUUAUUUGCAUUGCAGGCCUGUAACAAAAUAUCUUAUGUACCCCAUAAAUAUACACACCUACUAUGUACCCACAAAAAUUAAAAAUUUUUAAAAAAUGACUUGGGAAGUUUGUCUCCUCUAUUUCCUGAAGAAGUUUGGGAAGGAUUGGUAUUAUUUCUUCUUUAAAUGUUUGGUAGAAUACAUCAGUGUAGCUAUUUGGCUGGAGUUUUACUUGUGGGACAGUUUUGAUGUAAGAAUUCAAUUUCUUUAACAGAUACAGAACUACUCUGGUUAUUCCUUCUUUUUGAGUGAGCUUUGAUAGUUUGUGGAUUAAAUGGCAAAUAUUCAUUUUCUUUGUCAGAUGUAUUGGCAUAAAGUUGCUUAUAUAACCCCUUAUUAUCCUUUAAAUAACUAUAUGAUCUGUAGUAAUGACUCCUCUUUCAUUCUUGAUAUUGGCAAUUUGUGUUUUUCUUAAUCAGUAAGACUGACUAGACGUUUAUCAGUUUUUAAAAUUGAUCUUAAGAAAGUGUCUGAUUUUGUUUUUUUCAAUUUCUACGUUUUUCUGUUUCAUUGAUUUCUGCUCUUAUCCUUAUUUACUUUAUUCUAAUUAUUUGGGUUAAAUUUACUCUUAUUUUCUAGUUGAUUUAGUUGGAGAUUUAAAUUACCUGAGACCUUCCUUCCUAAUACAGACAUUUAGUGCUAUAAAUUUUCUUCUAAGCACUGUUUUAUCUCUAUCCCCAAAAUUUUGUGAUGCUGUGUUUUCAUUUUCCUUCAUCUCAAAAUACAUAUAUAUAUUUUAGAUUUUUAGGUUCGUGAGUACAUGUGCACAUUUAUUAUAUAGGUAAAUUGCAUGUCACAAGGGUUUGGUGUACAGACUAUUUCAUCACCCAGGUGAUAAACCUGAUACGUAGUUUUUCAGUCCUCACCCUCCUCCCAUCCUCCAUCCUCAAGGAGGCCCCAAUGUCUAUUGCUCUCUUCUUUGUGCCCAUGUGUACUUAAUGGUUAGCUUCCAUUUAUAAGUGAGAACAUGUGGCAUUUGGUUUUCUGUUCUUGUGUUAGUUAGUUUAGGAUAAUGGUCUCCAGUUCCACCCAUGCUGCUGCAAAGGACAUGAUCUCUUUUAUGACAUGGUGUCCCUUGUAAUUUCUUUUUUAACACAAGCAGUUGUUGAGAAAAGUUUUAGUUGUUUUAAAAAUAUUGAGUUUUUAAAAGAUAUCUUUCUG